rnacentral:lncRNA from 1 species
CAUGAUAAGGCAAUACAGUAAGCCCAGACAGAUGGGGAAGGAAGAAACUGUAGAUGUAGCAAAAUUCAUUCCACAAUACAAUCACACUUUGUAUAGAUUGGCAAUAGCAAAAUUCAUGAAGAAACAGCAUAUAGAAACACCCAUGAAUGGUCUCAAAAGUAGCAUAUCUAGGGCCUUGUGUCUCAACUUCAGAAUCAAAAUUCAUCAUCAGCC